UUAAGCCAUCAAGGUGAAAUUUAUAAAACUCUUUUGUACAUGGAAAUUGGGAUGUCUUCAUACAAAUCAGGUUAUGGUGUAUGUGACGGUACCUUGCUAUUAGGAUAGCGAUAGUACUUUUAGAGUUAAUACGCGCACAAACUCCGGACGGGCCCCACCCCUCCGCGGGGGUGGUGUGUUUAGGGAAGGGACGUAUUUUUUGGAUAAAAGGCCGAGGCGGGCUUGCCCGGUGUUGCGGUGAAUCAUGAUAACUUGUGGAAUCGCACGGCCCUUUGCGCUGGGGAUGUUUCAUUCAAAUUUUUGCCCUACCAACUUUGGAUGGUAGGAUAGAGGCCUACCACGGUGGUAACGGGUGACGGAGAAUUAGGGUUUGAUUCCGGAGAGGGAGCCUAGAAA
rnacentral:rRNA from 1 species